rnacentral:tRNA from 1 species
GGCCGGUUAGCUCAGUCGGUUGGAGCGUGGUGCUGAUAACAUCAAAGUGCGGGUUCGAUCCCCACUCGGUCC